AGAGACAAUCGAGAAAACUAAAACAUCUUAGUAACUAAAGAAAAAGAAAGUAAAAGGGAUUCCUAUAGUAGCAGUGAGCGAAAUGAGAGGAGCCUAAACCGUGAAAACUGGAUUGUAGGAAAGCAAUACAAGCAUCAUGCUGCUAGGCGAAGUGGCAGAGUGCUAUGCCCUGGAUGGCAAGAGUCCAGUAGCCAGAAGCAUCACUAGCUUACGCUUUGACACGAGUAGCAUGAGGCACGUGGAAUCCUAUGUGAAUCAAUAAAGACCAUCUUGCAAGGCUAAAUACUCCU
rnacentral:ncRNA from 1 species